rnacentral:RNase_P_RNA from 1 species
AGGGAAGGAGAGGCAAUCGCUGCCGACCACCGUAUCGGGAGAGGAAAGUCUGGACUUCACAGGAGAGGAUACCAGCGAAAGGCUGGGGGGAGCAAUCCCACGGAAAGUGUAACAGAAAGCAGUCCGCUGGCAGUCUCGGCUGCCAGGCAGGGUGAAAUGUCUGUUUCAAGAACAGGCCCCACCCAGAGUAAUCUGGGGGGCGAUAAACCCUAUCCGAAGCAAGGAAUCUUAAGCCAUCCUGUUCUCCACAGUGCUUGAGAUGCAGUCCGCUUGAGGGCCUUGGCGACAAAGUCCCUAGACGAAUGAUUGCCCUUCGACAGAAUCCGGCUUACCUCCUUCCCCUUUU